rnacentral:lncRNA from 1 species
CAAAAUUUAUGUGAAAUGUUAUUACCUUACUUCAACAGAAACUUAAGUUCAUUCGCUAUAGCAGUUGCAGCAUAAAAUGAUACUGAGACCAAAGACAAUCAGUGGCUUUCAUGGUGUGCAUCAAGAGAAUCAAGAUGAAAAAAAAAAGGAAAAGUUGCACUACACUUCUAAAGAAUCAAGAGUGGAAAUAUUUGGGAAUUGUGAAAAAGAGGACAUGACGUAGAUAUUUGGAAUAUACUCUACAUAGCCAACACUUCCACCCAGCUUUUCAACAACAACAACAACAACAACAAAAGGCUCCCUGCUCUCUCUGGUAUAAAUCAGCCCCAGUCACUCAACAGUCUGAAAGACACUGAGGCAAGGAUGGGUGAAAGACAAAGGUGGGCUCCUUCCCAGCUGUUCUGUGUGCCUUGGAUACCUCAUUUCAUGACCCAUUUCAAGGGCAGUUUAUAAAUGUUUAUGUGUCCUCAGCAGCUUUUGCACAUAAGGGUUUUUAGCAGUAAUUUGUAACAUUUAGUAAAUAUGUCAUAUCUCCACACAUGAUCCAACCAGAGCUUAGACAAGCCGAUGAGUAAUCAUUGUUGUCUGAAAACAUUUUUUCCUUCCUCUGUGAUGCAUAAAGAAUUCAUAAGAUCAUAGAGAAAAAGUUGAGUUACAGUCCUGAGAUUUAUGGUGAGUUGUUCAAUUUCACAGUGAAGCAACGUUAUCCCAUAAACACUUCACUUCAUCAACUGCUUGGUUGAAUUAUUGUUGCCAGAAAUAUGCUUGCUAAUUACUGUCUUUUCUACUGAUUCUGAUGUUGCUGGAUUCAUUUUAACAGUAUGCAGUAUCUGUGUUUUGUUAAAAUUCUUUCUAUCAGUUAAAAUAUGUUUGUGUGACACAUUUGUGUUCGUAUUUGUACAUUUUCUAAUUAUAUGGUUUCCAUGCACACAAAUGAAAUAGUAGUUAUCCUACAUUAACUGUGGGUUAACUGCUUACAAUGCAUUCUAGGAGUGUAAUUUUUUCUAACAAAAACAAUGCAGUUUGCAGCAUAAAAAUGGGUGGAGAUAACAGACAAAUUGAAACUAGAAGAUUAUAACGAAGGCAAAGUUAGACCCUCAGAAAGUGCUUUUGAAAACACAUCUUGUUGCUAUAUAAAUCUAGGCAGAUAUCAUUUUAAAAUACAUCUUCUAGCACUGAUGAGAAAUGUCUAAAUUUGCCUUUGCUGGUUACCCUUCUUAUCUGCAACCAUCACACCUGCAGCUUGUUAUCUAUUGCAGGGUAAAGUAGUUAUCUAGUUAUAUAACAGUCUUUGCCUUCUCUGUGAAUUGGCAGCUUUGUCAAGGAACUCUCUAACUCAUCACAGACAGAAUCCCAAGUGUAAAUUAACAUCUCUGCCAUGUAGACGAUAAAAUGGUGACGGAAAAGGGGCAAAGAAAUCUGAAAGUGUAGAUGUGCUUUCUGUGACAAUUCUGAACAAUUGAUUGUUAAUCAAAUUCCAGCUGAACAGGGAUAAUUUAAGGCUAUCUAUCCUUCCAGAGAUGCAUUUCUGUAAAGCUAGGUUAUCUUCAACUCUGAAAUCUCAGAUCAGAUGUAUAUGUAUGAAAGUCUCAUCUAAGUUUCUAUUCUACAGCUUGAUAUAGACUUCCUACUAAAUGUCUAUAGCCGACGGGCACAAAUAACUUGAGGUAAUAAUGAUGAUGAUAAUAAUAAUAAUAAAUUCAUCUGUGAUUUAUCCAUAAAUAUUGCACAUGUAUACAAAAAUGACAUAUGUAAUAUGUUAACUUGGAUCUCAGCUUAAACUAUCUUCAGACUCAGGGUUUCCGAGUUUUGGUUAAUGGCCAAAUUUUAUAAAAAAUACAUAAGAUUAUACCAGUGAACCCUGAAGGUACUGUUUCUUUCAAUUCAAUGACAUGCAGAAUAAAUUAUAUAUAUUUUCAUCCCACGUUUCCAAUACAGGGUCUAAUGACUUAUAUCUUGAUGGACUUAUGGACAAUGCACAUUGAAUUAAAAGCCUCAAUUUAUAGUAAGAAGAUAUAAUAAGAUGUCCUCUAACUGUAACCUUUUAUUAAGAGACAUUAAGGCUCCUUUAAUAACCAUCUUGUCGAUUGUGAUUUUCAUCAGUUGUCAGUCUCCUCUCAUACACCAUUCCACAUGUACCUAGUGGUUCUGACAGUUAUUCAGAUGGGAAGGGUGGGGUUAGAAUUUGUCUUAGGAAGAAAAUGAAUAUUUUGCACUGGAAAUAGAGUAAUGCAAUAUUAUCAAUGAUGUGUAGACUAGAGUUCAGUUAGCAUAUAAAUCAACUACAUUCUUAAAGCUCCAUUCUCAAAUAAACAAAACCUUGGUAUUUUUUAUACUUUGACACAACAAAAAUAACUUAUUAUAUUACAAAAAUAAUUUAUCAUUAAUGAAUCAUCUUCUUUUGACAGAAAAUUGGCAAAUGUUAGAUUACACAAUGUACUUAACAAAGCUGUGUACAGUCUCCAGAGAAUAGAAACAAUAUUGCAUAUAAAAUCAUCUAAUAAAAAAUAAUAAUCUCAGCUAUUAAUUGUAAAUUAUGGUGUGGGAUGAUUAAAAACAAAUGGGGUUGGAGGAGUUGUUCAAGAUGGAGACAUCAAGUCUGUUUGAAAUCUGUACUGUUAACUAUGUUUGUCAGAAAUGCAUUACGUCUUCAACAUAAGAUUGAGUACUUAGCUCAAAUUGUACUGAAUAUUUAUACUAAAAUGUUUUGUUAACUAUUUAAACCUAAAAAGUCAUGCAAGUGCUACAAUAACUUUAUCUCAUGCUUCCUCCCAAUAUUCCAUGUAGUGACUAUAUCCUGGAUCAGUACAUUUUACUGUAUUUCAUAUUGAAUGUUUCCUUUAUCAAAAAAUCCAAAAGUGCAUUUAUUCCUAGGACGAGUCCAAUGUAGGGUGACAAAGAUGAUGAGGGGCUUGGAGCAUGUCGCUUAUGAAAAAAGUUUAAAGACCUGAGUCUGUUCAGUCUGGAGAAGAGAAGGUUGAGAGGGGAUCUCAUCACUGUUUAUAAACAUCUAAAAUGAGGGAGCCAAGUCGAUGGGGACAGACUCUUUUUGGUUGGAUGUAGCAAUAGAACAGGGAGCAAUGGGCAGAAACUGGAAGGCAGGAAAUUCCAUAGUAACACAAGGAAGAAUUUCUUCACUGCCAGAGUGACAGAGCACUGGAAUGGGCUUCUCAGAGAGGUGGUGGAGUCUCAUUCUCCAGAGAUAUUCAAGACCCAUAGAUACAAAAUACCCAUUUAGACACCUACCUGUGCAACCUGCUAUAGGAUACCUGCUUUAACAGGAGGCUGGAUUCAAUGAUCUCUAGUGGUCCCUUCCAACCCCUACAAUUCUAUGAAUAUAUGAUUCUGUGAUAUUUCAGUUCCUCUGUACAGUUAAAAAAAUACAUUCCACAAGAUACUCUUAUUGACACCUUGAUUUUAUUUCUAUUUGUAUUAUUCUUAUUUUACUUUUUCAGAUGAACCUACACUUAGACUAUUAACAUAACAAAAACUGUCAUGGCAGGAAAGAAUUCUGGUCUGGCACUUGGCCCUACAUCCAUCUGCAGAGUGGCAGUAUAGAAGAAUUUAGGUGCAUAGGAGUUCUGGAUGACAACUAAUCCCAGCUCCUUCUCACAGCAGUGCUAACUUCAUUACAAGGUCAGGGCACUGCUCUGAGCCUCAUCCAUUGUUUUACUCUAUGAAGUUACUGAGCAUGACCAUGCUGAUAAUGGCAAGGAAAAGUGUCUGCAUUGAAGCUGAGACUGGACAAGGAGGAAUGGAUUUUGUCUUCAUGUUUAAUAUUUGUUUUCUUUUGCUGUUUUUGUCUUCCAAAUAUGCAAUUAAAUAUUUAUAUUCAUUGGUAAUAAGUCAAGUUAAUUUCCCAAAUUUGAGUCUAUUUUGACGCUGGCAGAAACUGGGAAGUGAUUUUCUUGUCUUUACCCUGACUCACAAGCUUUCUUGAUCCCUCCUGUUCUUCCUCUCCUCUCCCCAGUCCAACUGCAACAGGGAUAAAUUGGAGACCGACAGGGUGGGUGCUUGUUUUCCAGGCAAGGCCAUCCCACCACAUCUUUCUAAUAAUGAAAAACAGCGGAAGGCUAAAGGCAAAGCAGGAUAAUAAAAAAUGUCAUCCCAUAGGACUGGUAGGGAAUUAUGGGAUCAUUAUCUAGCACUAACUGCACUACAACUCUGUUGUUGUUAUGUUAUACAAAGGAAAUGUGUUGAAAUGUCAAGAGAUUUGUUCAUUUUCCCAGGACUCGAGCUGGUUAUAUGAGCUGAAAAUGUUCAGACAUAGAUUUGCAGGUAAUAAACUGGACUGUGAGGAAAGAAAGGAUAGGCAUAUACAGGAGAGAUGGAAAAGCUCAGUGGGUAUUUUGUAGAGCAGAAAUCCCAGUAUAUCUGUGGGAUCCAGAGUACUAAUCCUCCUUACUCUAACCAGCCAGGCUUAAGACAGAUGUAAAAAAUGUGAAAUUUUUCCUAUGAGCUGGAACAAAAUGAACAAUCAGCUUCUCUUCACCCUCUAACAGAGCCAGGAAAGCCAUCCAGCUGUGCUAAAGAUCCAACAGAACAGUGUCUAAUAGGGUAAGACUGCACCUACUGUCCUCAAAGAAGCUUGUCCUAAGACACACGUGUGUCUGUGUGAGGCAGGCAGUAACAGAAAGGGCCAGUGGAGUUAUCUCCAAACAAGCUAUUUGGCGAUGUAAAUGCAGUAUGGGUGUGCAGUUUGGGAUGAACAUAAACCUGAAUUCUCUCGUUAUUUCCCUGUUUAUUUCAGCAGCCAAAACUCUCAGUCAGGCAGUCAACAAAUAUCCAAAAGCAGUCUCUAUAAUUCAUAGGCUGUGCUUUCCACAUAUGCAGGACGCAUUAAGUCUGCUUUCCAUGUCCUACACACAUAACCUGUGUGCUUACAACAGCCACCUGAUUCAUUAUUUGUGAUGCAAAUUAACUUUACAUCAUGUGUACAUCUGCUGUGCUGCCUUGAACACACUGUUCCCAGUUUAGAGUUGAACUAGAUGCAUGUUGCACGUCUGUCUUGUGCAAGACAUGUCAGAACUAUGUAAACCAGUGCAAAUCAUUGGUGUACUGCAGGAAGCAUAGAUGUAACACAUCACAGCCACUUCAAGCAUAGCUGGCACGAGCUUUGUGACAUACACAGAUGUAUUUCAGCCAGAACCGAUCAGUCUUACAGAGAAGCUUUGGAUGUCUGAAGCUGAGGAAUAGAUCAAAUCGUCAGCUCUGCUGAUCAACUCUGGGAUAAACAUAGUUUUUUCUAUUCGGGACUUCACUGUCCACUGUUAGUGCCCACAUCACAGAGAAAUGUCAUAAAUGCUUUAAAAUGUGGAGACCUAUGUUUGAACUGUGGAGUCUGUGUCUGAUUUAUGUUUUAAUUUCCUCAGAAUUCCUAUUUGCAGCACAUUUUAUACAGGGCUGCAUUUCCUAUCCUUAGUCUUAUUUGGAAGGUCAGAGGUUUCUGCUUUCAGUGUCAGUAUGAAUGAUAAUUGCUACUGGUGUAUUAUGUUCCUUCAUUUUCUUUACUAACCAUAUUUCCCAUCCACAUGUAUGUGUAAUACCAGAGAUGCAAGUAGCACAAGACAUCUGAGGGCAUUUGUUCUCUGUGGUAAAACAAUGAGGGUAUCAGAUGUCUAGUAGUAAUUUCAGUGUCCAGAUGACAUACAGUGUUAGAACAGUAAAGCCAUCAUAUAAAAACAGCUAAUGAAGAUCUAAAAGCUACAAUGAAAUGCAGUGUGUGUGAAAGGCUGCUAAAGAAUUGAAUGCCUCGUAUGCCUUGUGAGCACCAUAAAAAGCUGUAUGGGGGCAGGGGAGCAGGUGAAGCCUAUUGCUUAUUCAUUUUUCUUAAUCAGCAUAAUCAUCAGAGGUGUUCAUCAGAAACUAAACUCCUGUAUACAUAAAUAACACUGAAGUAACAGGUCUUAUUUUAUGGAUAUCUAUCUUUGCUUUCUAAUAUUAAAUCAACAGCUGGUAUCCUAUGCUUUAUCAACUUGACUGCAGAGCCUUAUUUUGUGUUUAACAUGGACAAAUGGAGUGUCAGUUUGUAUGUUAAGAUAGCACAGCACCAUGACUACUACCAUGUCUUGUAACAAGCACAGUCUCGACCAGUCCAGUAAUCUAAUGAACUAUGUUUGCCUCCUUAUAGUUAUUUCAUAUUUCUAAUUUGAAGAUGAGAAUCGCAGUGAAAACUUUGGACAUACUUCUGAUUCAAUAAGCCUAUAAAAAAUGUAGAAAAGAGUAACACAGAGAAGAUUCAUGAAUGGCUCCAAGGAAAGAGACACUGGUUAUCAGCAUCUUGUGCAAGGGAUUGGCAUCAGUCCCACGUUCCAGUGAGUCCUCUGCCACACGGCUGUUCGAUGAUCUUGCAAGAAACUCAGGCUGUAUUUCUAAAACAAUGGCUUUGAAUCUGCAGUCCAAAAAUCCCUGAGAGUUCACGGCCCUUUUCUGGAAAUGUGAAGUUAACAAGAUAAUUCUCAAGAAGCAUAAAGUUGAUAUGCUGCCAUCUACAGCUUCACUGGAAAAAGAUUUAAGCUCUGCUCGCUGAGAAGGAUAAAGACUGCUGCUCUUCAUUAUCUGAUCUGACCAUCUUCAGUAGUCAUAUGGAUGCCGGAGAAAGUUUAAAGUAAAUAUAAGACUCAUCUGGCUGUGACUCAGUCUAGAAAAUAAAAACGUAUUAUUGCUUAAGAAAAUAGCCAGAAAAGAUAUGCAAAACUGUAGGGUGACUUUAGAGAGAAGUGUGGGAGCAAGUCUUUAGAGUCAUAUUGUACUCACAGCUGCUAUUUGGACAGAAAAGUGCAGUUUAGCCAUCUCUGUUUUUCACUCUAUUUCAUGUAAUCCAGAAUUCCACUUUUCAGGAGCAGAUCUUACCAAUUUGUUAAAGAUCUCCUUGAGGUCUUUCACGAGGAAAUCUUAUAGCUUCUGCCAUUAAUGCCAUGAGAUCUCUGACCUAGACUACUAGGACAGCAAUUUUAUGGGGCUAAACCAUAGGCUUACCCCAGAGAUAAGGCCAGUGCAGAAUUCAGAAAAUUAUUUUUUACGUGGCACCUCUUUCAAAUCAUGCCUGGUAUAAGGGCCCUCACACUUGCACUAGCUCUUUAAGGGUUACUAUUUCAGUCACAAGCUUUGCCCUGCAGUUCCACAAAGAUGCUGAAAAAAUGGUUCUCCCCAUUUCCAUAGCUGUACAGGUAUUAUCCAAGAAUGUCUGGUAUGGUGGUGGAUUCAAGAACAAAGGAAAGAAUGGGGCAGGGUUUUGGAUGAAUUUACCUGAUAUUUAGAGACUGCUUUUUUUCUUUCAAACUGAAACAAUUAUAAUUUUAUUUUAUUUAGGACAUGUUCAGAUAAUCACAAAUUUAAGGUAGUUAUUAAUAGUUAUAAGAUUAAAUUCUGUGUUAUAAAGUUAUCUAUAAUUAUUUUUGUCUAUUUUUGGAAACCAGUGACCUGCAAAGUUUGGGCAAGAGCUGUGGAUCCUGACUACUUUAUCAGGAAAACAACAGCAUUUCAGUGUCAAGAAACUGAGAAAACACAAAUUUUGCUUUGCUUAGAACAAGGUCUAUUAAAUUAAUGCCUGCAUUUGUUUUUAACCUAGUAGACUUUCUCUUCCCUCCACUCUCUCUUCUCCAUAUAUAGAAGUAUUCAACAGUUAUUAUAUAUUUGAAAUUCUUAGCUACCAGAAAGUAGCAUUAAUAGCUGGAAGUGCCUUUACAAAGGAAAUGUUCAUUAUUUUAUAGAUUGGAUAGACUUGGACUGUAAUUACAUACUCAAGAUCAUGAAGGAGACUCUUGAAAUUGUUUAGAAAUAAAGCUCUGAGCUACUUCCAAGCUUACGGCUGUUGUUGGUUUUGCCCUUUCCUAGAUGAUGUCAGACAAAUGAGGGAGUAAUAAGGAAUAAGGCAUCUAACUUUUAGACAAAUUGAACUCUAAAUUACCUAUAGCACUGACCAAGGAGACUUCAUCCUUAAGAACAAAAAACGUGAGAAAUCUGAGCUGGCUGUAGGAAGUAGUAUAGGACUUUGUGCUUUCUACCCAAAGAAAACCAAAGGUGGGACAGUCAAGCAAAUUACCACCUCCAUGAGGAACUGUGCUCUACCUGGUAACCUUUGUGGAAAGAGAUGAGUUACCAGAGCCCAACUUACAUGCAGUCACUCACAAAGCUACAGGCAGUCACCAGUGGAUGCUUGGACAUCUGCCCAACAACCCAUUUUUAAGCCAAGAAGUUAGACAUACGCCCCAGUCAACCCCCUUCACAGGAGCUGGGUAAAAAAGAAACACCACAUAUUACUCUUAAGGAUACCUGAGAUCCAAAGCUAUGGGACAGAACUAAGAAAAGUUUUUUUCCAUUCCUUUACAUGGAAUCCAGGACUCUGUGCACAAUUUCUUAAAGAUCUGCUGGAUCUGAGGGAUGGAGAUAGUAUGGUGAAAUAAAAUAAAUGCAUAAGCAAACUGGUAAGAGAUGGGCCAACUUUUCUAGCCAUGAAUGUUUCAUACCAAACAAACUAAUAAUAUUUUAAGAAUAGCCAAGUCAAACGUUACUUCAUAUUUAACUAAAAUGUUUUUAAAAGCAGAACAAACGACAACAAAUACUGAGCAAAAUCUUUCAAGCAAAUUGAAAUCAUUUUGUCCAUCACUGUUUUUAUUAUUAUUAUUAUUAUUAUUAUUAUUAUUCUGUCAGUGGAUCAGGAUAUUCAUUUUUGUGAUAGGUUCCAUUUAGUCUUUAUAAGAAGAAUUCAUGGUCUGUGGGAUGCUUUUCUCCUCCUGUGGGCUUGUGUAAUGGGUAUUGUGAGCCAUCACAUGGUUGUUCGGGAGAAGGUGCAACAGAAAAGGAUUUCUCUUAUUGCCAGAUAAAUUCUUUGAAGUAGGAUGGCUGCAAGCCUUUCCUCAUGCCACACUUUUCUGUGAGGACUAACAACAGCUGACCAACUUCAUCCCUGCCUCUUUUGUUUGCUGCCUUUGGCUUAUAGUCCACUGCCGGUGAAGAGUCAGAUGCCUCAGACUUAGAUGUUUUUAUGUCUAUCAGCCUCAUAGCUGGUUCCCAUAGCUUCUCACAUUGUUUUGAACCUGAAAAGGGGGCCAAGCUGAACACAUCCAAAUCCUUUCAUUUGAUCCUAGUUCACAUCAGCCAAAUGAAUGUGGAAUAUAAAGCACUGGAAGCAGAAGGUAAGGAUUAGGUUGAGUGCUGCCAGGCCUGUUCUGAAGAAGAGAUCUCAUUUAGGAUCCAUAUCUGUCAGUGAUGCUCACAGUUCUGAUACUGUACAUGGAAAGGUACAGAUGUUUGGAAAGUUCCCAAAACUCAGCAAAUUUAUUCUCCAAAGACAGGCAGCAAGACUUACUUACUGGCCUUCUAGUUCCCUUUGGCUGACUUCACCAAAAGAAAGAGUUUGUUCCCUUGGAGUACGCUUGUGUGGAGACUUGCAUAGUGAUGUGCAUGUGUUUCUUAAAGAAGAAGAAGAAAAAAAAAAAGCAGUAAAAGAAAAUCUCUGGUCAACGUAGUUUAUCCUGUAGAUUUCUAUUAUCCAAGCUAAAUGUAAAAGUGUUUACAGAAAAGAUAGUCUCUCCAAGACCACUGGGAUAGUAAGGCUGUGUUUUUUCUUCCUAAGAAGCUGUGUUUUUUCUUCCUAAGAAGUUGUGUUUUUUCUUCCUAAGAAGUUGUGUUUUGGAGAUGAGUUCUUCUGUACAUUCCCAGGUGUCUAACAUGCACAAAGCUCAAUUCUGUCACUGAAGUAAUUAACAGAGUCUCUCUUCUAAGCAGCUUGUCAGAACUUAAUAUCUCUGAUACCUUCACUUCUCUAAUUGUGGGCUCAAAUAUUUUUAGAGGAAGAUGGGCCAUGAAAAAGAGUGAGAGAUGAGUUGGCAUGAGUCAACUGAGUGUGUGUUUCUUUCACAGUCCCAGUGCAUGUCUCGUAUUCCCCCAAUAAUUUCACCCUUGUUACUGUUCCUUCACUUUUCUCUUCAUAUCAUGCAUGUAAUGCCCACCUUGAGCUUGCACAUAUGCCCACACACUAAACCACCACUAGGAAAUACUCUGCUACAGUACAUAUAUAAAAAUUACAUCACUUUAUUAAUCUUACAAUUAAAUUUGCUAGUCAGCUCUCACUGAGUUUUGUGUUUUGCACACAAUUUUCAUGGUAAGACUACUCAAUGGGACUGAUUAGUAUAAAAAGUCAUCUUCCAUCCACACUCUGGAGGUGGGAGCCAGUAGGGAGUGUGGAGGAGAGAGGACACACAAAACGGCAGAGAUUUCAGGAGCAGUGCUGACUCACUUCUAAAUUGCUUACUUGCUUUUAGAUCAAUUUUAUAUUUAUAGUGGGAGCCAUAAAUCUUAAGAAGACAAGAUUCCUAUUCAUGCUACUUUUCAUAACUUAUUUUGAACUCCCCACCUGAAGAACAGGCUGAAAGCCCCAUGACUGUAGUAUAUUAUCAUUCAUGAUGCCUGCCCAAGAAACGAGGCAAAUAGAUCUUACCAAAAAGAUAAAACACAUAAAUUUUAAGCCUCCUUACACGAUAUGUAAGUUCAAGCAAAUAUCAUCCAGUGGUGAAGUGACCUUCAAUAAUUUAGAAAAUUAUUUUUUUCAACUAAGAUUUUUGAAGUUUGUGAAAGCAUUUUAUUUCUUAUUUGCCUGUAUAUUAUACUAUUGAAGCGUCAAAAAUUUCCAAGGGUGAGAAAUUUCAGUUUCCAAUCCUUCCUUGAAGUUACACAGAUUUCCACAGAUUUCUCAUAAAUCUGAGAAGAUUUUACUUAAUUUAAUGGUUAUAUGAGAGAUUAGAAAAAUCCCCAUGGGAAAAAAAAAAAAAAAAAAAAAAGAAGACACAUGGAAAAUAGUUUUGUAAAUCAAAGAUUGUUGUGAUGAACUUUGUUUUAUUUUUUUCUGUUUUAUACAAAUGUCUUUAAUUAUUUAAUUUUAAUAAAAUUAAUUUUAAAUAAAAUUAAAUUAAAUUUUAAAAAAAUUAAUUUUAAUUAGUAACGGCAAAAUAAACAAAUAAUAUUAUGCUUUAAAUCUACUGAAUCUUUACAAACAAACUGAGCUUUAAAAUCACACAGCAUUAGAAGUAUGAUCUGAUGGGUUUUUUUUUGUUUUGUUAGGUUUUUUUUUUUUUGUAAUUAUUUUGCUAUGUUCUUAUUAUUCACUGAGCAAUUCCUACUGCAUACAGUAAGACUGGGAUUGAGAUCUAAGAUAGUUAUUUGAAAACAAAAUAAAGUUAUUUAUACACACAUACAUACACAUACAUAUAUGGUAUAAUUAUUUUUAUGUAUGCGAGUAUAUAGUCUAGCAAACUUUAGCAUAUAUCACAAUUUUCUUCUUUACUGGUGCACUACAUCCUGUUGAAAUAGUUAAAAAAAAAACUGUAAUUCUGAUCAGAGAUCAACGUGUGUUGAGCUCAUUGCAGCUAUACAUAACAUCCUCACAAGGUCUUGCAGAUGUUACUUAGGUUUGCCAAAGAGUUUCAACACUCUGGGUGAGGUCUUGAACUCAGGUUUCACCGAUCAAAUGUAAUCUGCAAGUCCUCCUUGAGGCAGAAAGGAAACUACACAAGUUUCAGAUGCACUGGUCAGCUGAUCUUUCCCAUAAACUUUUAUUUUGUUUUGGAAAAACCCAUGGCAAAAAGUUACUCUCCCAACACCAAAGAGGGCUUCAUGGGAAGUUUAUCAAAAGCAUCCAUGUGGGUAAACAGAGCUAAGUAUCAAUGUGCAGCACUUGCUUUGUUGUACUCAGGAUAAAUACAUUAGAAGGACUUAGAUUAACAGGAAGAAAUGUUACUCACUUUAUCUUAUUCAUGCUAUAAAAAUCUACUCCUUGAUGAGAACCUGAUUCAGUGCCUUGCAAACAUAAAUAUUUAAAGAAAAAUCACUGGGCUUCUGAUUAAUUAUUACUACUGCUUAUUUACCUUCAAUCCAUUGUAUCAUGCAUUGCAUUCUGAUAUAAUAAAGGAAAACUUGAAGGAUAUAAAUAGUAAAUAAGGAUAUAAUCAGGUUAAAGAGCCAUGAGGAAAAGACCAUUCCAUAAGUGUUUCCCAAUGCUGCUUUUUAGCCCACAGAAAAGAUAAGAUAAAGACAGUAUUAGUCAGAUGCAUGUUCACUCCCUCAAGUUUGUCAGCCACCCACGCAGUUCCCAUUUCAGCAAAAGUAAUAUAACAUGGUACCAGUAAUGUUUUAUCUCAUCAUAUUUUUGAAGAGCAAAUUCUCCACAGGGAAAAAUACUCUUGUGACACUGACCUUCCCAGUGAAUGGGGUUUUCCUGACCAUGAAGUUUCACUCAUCUAUUUUGACACUUGUUUUGGUACAGAGUGAGCCCUCUGGACGGAUUCUUGUGAGUUCUCUGAAAAGUCCUCAGUAAUUAUCAUCUUUUAUAUGUUCAGUUCCACCAAGCUGUGACAAAAUGAGAAUUCAGAAACAGUCAGACUGAAACAAUUUCAUACUUGGAGGAAAAAAAAAAAAAAAAAGAAGGAAGAAAGAAAAGAAAAGACAAGUUGCUCAAGAUCACUUGGAUUAGUGAAUAUAUGUCAUACAAAUAUACGCAAAAGGAAACACAGAUACAGGUACUUAGCACUGGUGGGCAUUUAGCUUUAAAAAGAGAGUUACUUUUGUCUCUUACUUCCAAAUUUAUGGUAACUUUGACAUAAAGUCAUUAUCUCCACUGCACUCAAUGGCAAGUGAAUUGGUUCCAAAGAUAUCAAUCUAACUAUCUGACACUGAUGCACAAAAUACUUCGAGUUACGGAUUGUUUUCAAAGAGGAAAAUGGCAUUUACCAUUCAAAAUGAUGCUUGAGAGGAAGCUAAUUUUGGCAAAAUAAUUCAAUCGAGAAGAUGCAGUUAGAUCCUCCUAUUUACCAAUUAUUUCAAGAAUAGCAACAGAGUUUCUGUACCUCUUCUUCCCUAGUAUUUAUGUGUGGUUUUCAUUUCCCUAUUUUUAGUUUCAUCUAGGCAGCUGAAAUGCUAAACCAUCAGACUAAAUAAUGAAAAGGAUGCAUGAGGCCAAAACAGUCACCAGGGGAGACAGUUUACUUUUACAUAGAUAAGCAGAUCUUUCUUAAGAAGAAGAUUUAUCUUUCUUAAUCUUCUUUCCAUUAAUGACCUCGGAGAUCUUAAAAGAUCUAUAACAGCUGCACUUAAAAAUGCUUGUGAUCAGUCUAAGUUAAUGCUUCAUUACUUAUGAUAAUUUUCAAACUUCUGGCAUAUCAGAGAGCUGAA